ensembl:snoRNA SNORD24 Small nucleolar RNA SNORD24
UGCAAGUGAUGUGAAGAGUGUUUGCCGUCUGAGUGAUGGUGGGGACGCUCCUAACCACCAAGAUCGCUGAUGCA